GCUAUUUAGGUUAGAGUUUGAUCCUGGCUCAGAUUGAACGCUGGCGGCGUGCCUAACACAUGCAAGUCGAGCGGUAACAGGUGUAGCAAUACAUGCUGACGAGCGGCGAACGGGUGAGUAAUGCUUCGGAAUCUGCCCAAUGGUGGGGAAUAACUAGCCGAAAGGUUAGCUAAUACCGCAUGAGCCCUACGGGGGAAAGCAGGGGAUCGUAAGACCUUGCGCCGAUGGAUGAGCCGAAGCCGGAUUAGCUAGUUGGUAGGGUAACGGCCUACCAAGGCGACGAUCCGUAGCUGGUCUGAGAGGACGACCAGCCACACUGGGACUGAGACACGGCCCAGACUCCUACGGGAGGCAGCAGUGGGGAAUAUUGGACAAUGGGCGAAAGCCUGAUCCAGCAAUGCCGCGUGAGUGAUGAAGGCCUUAGGGUUGUAAAGCUCUUUUACCCGGGAUGAUAAUGACAGUACCGGGAGAAUAAGCUCCGGCUAACUCCGUGCCAGCAGCCGCGGUCGCCC
rnacentral:rRNA from 1 species